GAGGAGCUCUCAAAUCAAGUUCAACAUUUGCCUUGAUGCCCUUUUAAAACAUAGAAAACAACACUGACACAAAAACCCAUAAAGAGACAUGUUUAUACCUUAAUGGUGGUAACACUGGUGAGUGACUGUAGUGUGCAGUACCUCAACACUUAAGAAAUCAAACCAAAGUCAAUAGCCUUUGCGUUUACCUUGCUUUUUUAGACCUGAAAUGGUAGUUUCUAACAUACAAGCGUCUCUUGCCUGUCACUCAUCUCUUUAUUAAACAUCCGCCCCAUUUCCCUCCUUCCCUGUCAUGUGCUUGAUGCCCCAUUAACUAGGCUGUCCUUCAGCUCCCUUGGCACCCAGUCUCCUUACAGGACAUUUAACCAUUGCCGUCCUUCACUCCAGUCUCCCUUUUUUCUCAUUAUCUAUUUUGAUAGAUGUAGAAUUGAUGUAAAAUAUACAGAUAGGCACACAGUGGUCUCAGUGUCUAGUGUUUUUUCAAACACUGUAAGCAAUAUAUUCACAAACAAUAACGCCAGUCCCAAAGCCCAAAUGAAGGUCACAAUUCAUAUUUGCAUGUGUGUAUGAGAGCACAGGGGCUGACUCUGGCCCAGAUUCACCAGGGCAGUGGGGUAGUGUGCCAACAUGUCAGUUCAUGAGCACACAGGAAAGAACAGUGUUUAUACAGGCAGUCAGAAAAUAGCAAGAAAAAGGUCAGGAAAGUACUCCAGUGGGAGUGGAAUUAUGCAGGGCCGUGGUAUGUGCUUGGACUAAGGAAAAGUGAGGUCCAGUCAAACUCUUGACAACCUCUUUUCAGCCCUUCAAUUACUUAUAGAAGUUCAUUUGUGAAAAGUAUCAAGAACGUGUUUCAAAAACAUUUUCAAUCAGAGAUAUUUCUUCUUGUGUCAAUGAAACAAGCAACAAGGUCAAUUUCUUACAACCACCUUAUAACAAAAAGAUGACUUGUUUCAUCGUCCUUUUUACACAACUCAUCGGUAAUAUCAGGAGUGAAGCAGAGAUAUGCAUGUUUGAAUACAAAGUAUAAAACUCUACUCAUUUAGCAGAGUAAACAAUGGAGAGUAACACUAAAAUAUGACUCAAGCCUUUUAAGGUUAUCACACGUAACCAGCUUUACAAAAUGUCCACCCCAUCAGACUUCCCUUUUUCUUAAAUCCCACCCUCUUUACACAUAACUAUUCUCCUGGAAUUUUCUCUUUGUUUUUUUAAGUCAGCAUGUCGUGUAUUACUCUUCCUUUGCAGUCUUCUUGUUCUUCUGUGUCUCAAAACCAGAAAGAAACGUUCUCCCAGCCCCCAAAGGAUUACAGCUCUGUGUAUUGUUGUCUUGCCUUGUGCAGCUUUAUUAUUAUCACACUUUCUAUCAUUUCUCUCUGCAUGCUGCUGCUGCUCCCAAGUCCUGAACUCAUCUAAUGCAGAAGAGUAACUUCUGUGAUAAUAUGCAAUGACUGAGUGUAUGUAAACCACAUAAACAGAAGAACUUGAGUAUAAGAUCGGCUGACAGAUUAAAAAAUAUCCUUUAUAACUUUUAUUGCACUAAUUCACUGCCUAUAAUCUCUUUUAAAUAAAAUAGUUUUUUCUAUAUUAUAUUUAAGUUUGAAAUGUAAGAUACAUUAAUGUGGUGUUUGUUUUUUCCCUUGACCUCCAUGUUGUUAUGCUUAAGAUAAAGUAGGAUAAAUAAAAACUCUACAACCCAUGUGAACAAACAAAAUCUUGUAUUUUUGGACUACAAACUAAAGUGACCUGUGACAAUUAAACACAAUGUUCGGAUCCAUUCAGCAAAACUGCAAUGUUCUGAGUUUUUUUAUUUUUAUAUUUCCCCAUUACUAACAGACAAAAGGAAGAGUACCCUGUGUACCUUUUGUCAAGGACACUCCAAUAAAGAUCUUUUUAGGGGGAUGAAGCCUCGCAUUAAAAUUACACUUUUCUUCCAGGGGUUAUCGUCUCCAUCUUUCAUAACGCUCCCCUUGUUAUUGCAACACACUGUUAUUACUACUACCACUGUUCAGGAUCUAAUACAGCUGAGCUUGUCUUCCUUUAAAAUGGAAACUUGUGGUCAAUAUGUGCUUGCCUCAUUUUCAUAUAUCGGUUGAGUCUCACGAGAUAAGACAACAAAAUCAAAACACAGAGAGGAGCCCGUUUUAGACACGUGUAAUGAAAAAAUCACUUCACUUUAAUGGGAAGAUGAUGGAGAAGAAGUGUGGUCAGUAGGAGAGAGAGCGCAGGAGAGCUGUAAUGAGCGACAUAACAGCAGACAGUACUUGUUUAGCAUUGUAAAUGAGCAGCAAAGCAAGCAGCAAAUUUAUGGAGGGUCAGGUGUGCCUGUUCAGCAGUAAUAGGCAAUGAGGGCGCUCUAACCAGCCCCCUGUCUAACGCAAGCAUGCACGUCCGGAGAGCAGCAGGACAUGGCAGACGUGCUGGAACUCUCAGGCUUGAAAUUACAGUAAAAAUGUGGGAUGAUGGCUGGUAUAUCUUUGUCAGACACAGCCCUGUGUGUGUGUGUGUCUGCAUGCGUUGGUGCUGAUAAAUACUCAGUUAAGGCUGGAUGAGGCUCCGCAAAGGCACUGAGAGGUCAGCUCGGGGUUGUUAAACAGGCAUCUGCUCACAUUUUCACUUUAACUUCACUUCCAGCACAGUUUCUUCCUUUUCAGAGGGAGAAAAACUGCAAACAGAGAAAAAAAACAGUGUAAAAGCAUUGAUUGAUGUCUCUUGAAUCAGCAUCUGUUUGGCCUGAAGACUGCAAGUUCUAAAACUAAGUGUGGAGUGUGACUAAUUAAGCUGGCCAGACCUUUUGAACCCACUCCAAAUUUUUUGAUUCAGGCUAGCGGCUUUAGGCUACAACAGUAUAUCCAGUACAAGAGUUUUACUGUUAAUGAGGGACCAGAAACCCUUACUCUUCUCAAAUCAGAUUCAAGUUCACUCGCAUAAAACUGCAGGAAAGAAACAUAUAGCUCAUCUAAAGUUUGUUAAGGAGACCCUUUCGCCCACUCUGUCAGCUCCGAGGUAACACAUUUACGCUCUAGUAAAUUCUGAAAAACUCUUCUGUUUUCUAUUUCCCCAGUUACUCCCUGUUUAAACCCUAACAACCUCCAAAUAACUCAUAAUUUACUCAACAUCCUUAAGGUUGAGGAUUGGUCCCUAAUGAGACGCCCCCCAGUAAAUCCUUGUAAACACCCAAGUAAAUCACAAUUCAUUCUCUGUUGACUCCCAGGUAAUUUCUCAUUAACUCCCCAGUUACCUCCACAGUAAAUUCCUGUAAACCAUCUAGUAUCUCCAUGGAAAGGGUCUGACUACUUUGUAACGACUCUCUAGCGGUGUGAUGCUCUAAUUUGUCAUGACUAAAUGAUGAGGAUUGCGUAAAUGGUAGGCAAGCUGACAACAAAAACUGUCUGUUCAUAAAUGCUCCGACAAAUAAUCGCUUCAAAUUCUUACCUCCUCCAUUCAUCCUAUUUAUUGUCACUGAAUGAGUUCCUGCCUGGUGUAUGUCUGUUUACAGUCUCUGGUGGGAAGCCAAAUCUAGUUUGAACUCUCAUGAAAAGCCCUGAGGAAAAAAAAAAAACAUAAAUAAAAAUAAAAACAUUAAGAAGGACACCACAUGAACCCAACCCCCAGAGUGUCUGCCCAGGUAAAUAACAACAAUAUAUGAUGAUCGACUGACAUGAACAAACAAUAACUCUCUAAUGUUUACUACACACAGAUUUCUUUGUGUAAUAGGAUCUCUGUUGAGUUGCACUAUCAUAGCAUUCUUUGGCAAAGUAGCAAAGUUCAACACAACAACUGUUAGCGAUUUGCAUGUCAUGUGAUAUAAACUGAUCUUUAACUUUUAACAGAUUCAAGCCGUAUUAUGGUAGAUUUUAAAAUAUGAUUUAUGAUUUCUUCAGACUCAUACAGAGUCGGUCAAAUGUAGCUCCAUGUAAUGAAGAGAGAAUUUGUGCUUUUAAAAUGUGACUUAUUGCACUUUUUAAAACAAGUUUUUGAUAUUCAUUUUCGUCUAUGGCAUGAGGAAGUAUGAUAAGUAUGAUACUUGAACAUCUCUAACCAAGAUGACCAGACACUGAAAGUUUUACAACCAGGAGGAAUAUACUUGAUUCUGAUUGGUCAAUACUCCAGAAAAAUAGUCUGCUAUUUCUUCAUAGCAGACUGUUGCUAAGGAUGUGUGCUGUCUCUGGUGGGCUGACUGUUAUCACAUCGAUUUGUAUACUUUAAACAACACGCCUAUGAUGCUUGGCUCCAACAAGCUUCCAAACCCACUCACGAUACAUCAUCCCAUACUCAGUAACUUUAGUAAAGGCUCAUUUCUGUUUAGAUGCUUUAAAGAAACCCUUUCCUGUAUGUUGAAGGAACAAAACUGUGUAGAAAGACAAACCACAAAAAUGCAUCAAACUUUCUUAUCCAGCUUGAGUGAGUCAUCACGCAACGAUUGCUGCUUCUUUAAUAUACAGCAUUACUCUUUUCUCUUUAAUCACUUUAUGCUCUUUAGUUCUGUGAAACUCACGUAAGCUCAUUUCUUGCUAUUUCAUUACCGCCUUUGUCUCUCUCCCUCCUCCUCUUACUUCAAAAUCUAAUCCCCUGUCCACCCAUGACACCAUCAGCAGGCCCAUCCUAAUUGCAGUGAGCAGCUCCUGCUGGCGAUUCUGCUGAGAGGCGGAAAAGCAAUGGAAGCAAAUGCUGUUUCUAUUGAUCAGCUAGUGUCUCUGUCCUCCCUCCAGCCGGCUGUGUUUACUGUUCCUGCUCAGAGGUCUGAUAUGUCAUAAGAUUUAGUGGCCGGGGUGCACAUAUUAGCCUCUGCGGACAGAAUUUCAGCAGUUGAACGGAGGAAAGCAUCGCUAUAAAUACAGGCUGUUCUCCUAACCAGACACCCACAGUCCUGGGCUUUAAACGUGGCCAUUAACUCCUGGCUUACAACACAAAGGCCAGUUUAUCAGAAGAUUCAAAUUAGAGUGUGAAAAAGAAUAAAUCAACAAGUGGGGAAGAGGAGAGGUUUGAUAUCGAGAGUCCUUUAUCUUGAGUGAGCGUACUAAGAGUCACAUGUUUCCCGUAUAUCCUCUCUUUUUAACUAAGCCUCCAAGUAUAUACUCUGACAGAUCACCUCACCUCUGGCGACAGCUAAUCUAUGUUAGUAAAUCAGAACGGGGCUAAGGCCAAACGAGAGCUGGGAUGGACUACAGGUGAUACCCUCCUAGUCUGCUCACCCUUGCAGCUCUCCACAGCCCAUCAAUACCUCUAAUAAUGAUGGAGGGUCGGUUAGAUUAGCUUUCCACACUGUUACCAUGUCCUAUCAGUCAAGGAGGCCGGUGGGACAGAGAAACGAAUGUUAGCUCAUCAAAGGGUUUGCAUUUGCAUAGAAGAAAAUGAAAAGACUGCAGAUCGUUAAGAAAGGGCGAUGUCCGGCUGUCCUCAGAGGUUAGUCCAGGACACGGAGCAGUAGUCCACAGCAGUGAUAACUUUGUGUGUAUGUAUGUGUGUAUCUCUGUCCUCUUUCUUGACCUUGACCUAUAUGUGUGUGUGUGUGUGUGUGUGUGUGUGUGUGUGUGUGUGUGUGUGUGUGUGUGUGUGUGUGUGUGUGUGUGUGUGUGUGUGUGUGUCUGCACAUAGUGGUUGGCCUCUCUUUUUCCAAGAGUACGACAGACAGAUGAAGUUGGAAAUUAAGAGUUCUGACAUCUCAUCAAAAGUUAUUAAGGUCAGAGUUCGAGGGAGAGACCGGUUCGGUUAUUGCCUUUCUUUACAUCCCCUCUUCACCUCAAGGUGGGGAGGGAGGUGAGGGAAUAAAGACUGAGGUCAGAUAGCACAUAUACUUAUUCCAAUACCAACUUGGACACCCCUUUAAAACUAAUUUAAUUUUGAAAAUGUUACAACGCUAUUAGAAAAACACUGAAAGCUGACAGUUUGCCAGCUUUGGGUAUAGCAUUACAAUCUCCACUGGUCCUGUGUUGUUGUUUGUAUUUGUUUGGCACAGUAGUAAUAAAAUAGCUUUAUUCAUAAUGCAACUCUCAAAACCAGAGUUAUGAGGUUUUUACAAAAGAGGGGACUGAGCCAACGAAAACAGUUAUAUAAUGAUAUUUGAAUAACAAGAAUAAAGAUGACGAAUGAAUAAGUAAAAAUAGUGCACCAGUUAUGAGAAGGCCCUAGAAAAGGGAAUUCCUGAAUUUUGGGACCUGAUCGGGGAGGACAUGAUCGGCUUAGGUUACAAAGCAAAAUUUAGGAUCCUGUCAGAAAAUCUCAAUAGAGAUCAGGUGCAUAAAAAAGUAGAAAAACACAAAAAUAAGACAGUGCCUGACCAUACAAAACAAACAAUAAAAUCUUGAAUUCAGGCCAGAAGUUUUUCAGUGAAGGUCAGCAAGAACUGGAGUCAUGCCUUCACUUUUUCUUGAAAGGGUUGAAAGUCAAGCAACAGUAUUUUGGGUAAACCGAAGCCUACAGUAUGAAUGCUUCCCUCACUAAUUUUCUCUCCUCGAAAUAAUUACCUCUUACUCCAGUACAACUCUCACUGAACUCACCUCUAACUUCCCCAAAACUCCCCUGUAAAGUUCCCCUCAAACCUUGAACUCUCCUCUAACUAAACUGGAACUCUCCUCCCCUCAAACUCCCCUCUGCAGAGCCCCUAAUUUGCCCAUUUGGGUGUCAGAUACUUGAACUUGUAAGUUCUCUAAUCAGGUAAGUUUAACAGGUCCACUUUGUACAAAUUUUCAGCUGUCUUUAAACAGUACAAGUCCUCUUAUGAAGGAUUACUGAUCUGAGAUAGAGUUCCUGAUUUGGAUGAGCUGUGAUGAGACAUGUGCCAGCUCUGCCAACUAACCCAGAGGUCUGUUCAUUUCCAAAUGUCUCUUCAUUGUACAACUUGUAAUUAACUUAAAUCACACAGUUCAUAGAUUGUAGAUCUAAAAUGAAGCUGAACUUUUCAACAUAAGCCAAAUUAAUAUAGUGCUGCUUACAUCUUCCUCAGCUUGUAGUGUUUCCUUGCAAUCCCCUGUUAAAUUACACAAGUGUCAAGAUGACAUAGUUAAUCCACUGAGCUGUUCUCGUGAGAAUCAUCCAUGGGCUAAUCGUCCUUCAAAGAAUAAUUGCAGUCAUUUAAAAGUAAAUCAUGAACAGUGUUUGAUAAUAUGAGUUCAUUUUCCCUGUAGACUAUUUCCUUGUGGUCCUCCUUUGUGCCUUUGGCAAGGACUAUGUGGACCCUUUUAAUCCCCCAUGUUUGUUUGGCUGGGGUCUUAUCCUUUUGUGCUUUAUCUAUACAAAAAACAAAUCUUUAGCAGCUGUUAAAAUAAUAUAUUCACAAAAUAUUAUAAAUAAAGAAAUGAAUUAAUUCAGUCUGGCAAAACAUUUAGCUUCUGGCUUUCACAUUCAUCUUUACAAACAGCUCUGUCCGGCUGCUCUCGCCAUGUGUUUCACGCUACCAGCUAACUGAUGUAAGCAGCUGCUACGCUAACCACGCCGAUCUUAGUUUUGCAUGCUAUUGUGCUAAUAUAUUCAAUUUAGCACUUCACAUAUGCCAAUACUGAUGGAAAUGUCAUUAGUUUAUGACUGAAAUUUGAGGUGUAAGGGUAAAAAUAAGGUAACGGUCUUAAUCCACAUAGUAGUCGUCCAAACCUGUUCUGAAACUUCAAAGUUACAACCUCUUGUGCCACAAUGAGAAUAUUCAAGGAAUCGAAAUAUUGAAUCAGUGUCACCUUCAACACAAAUUAUUCAACCACCACUAAAACGAUGUGAUCCUGAUGGAAUGUCAAUGUUGGAUGAAUGUCACCUUGUCAUUUGGGACCUGAAUCAUCAGUGAAAGCUCAGGAUACAAAUCGACUCAUGUCUCGGAGACAUGAGACACGUUUUCAACACCUUAUUUGGUUUUUAUAUCAUUGGACAUACUUCUUUUCUGAAAUUUUUAUAACCACUAACUCCUAUCUGGGGAGCCAUUUAGACACAGACCCAAUCUUUUUUGGUAUUCUAGCGUCCUUUUUUUAAACAUUUUUAGUGUGUGACAGUCACACAAAUGUCCAGAUUAAACCUCUUGGCAAGUUACUGAGCAAAUGUCAGGACAUCUCCUAAAAUGUUCACUGUAAACUUCCCGGAGAAUGAGUGUUAAGUCAAGGAAACAAAGAAGUCUUAGGAAUUAAAAAAUGAAUCUACAUUUAUACUUUCCACUGAUGUACCUAACUGUUGUUUAAAAUCUUUCAGUCUAAGCUGUCUAUAACUCAAAGCUGACUCUUCAUUCAGGACUGCACAUUAGAUCCUCAGACUAGAAAAUCUGUGGAAGUUGUUUUCUAGUUACUUAGAUUUCAAUUUGUCCUCAUUUUCAGUCUCUUUCUCUUAUUCUCCAACCUUGAAUCUAUUUUUCUCGCUCUGAAUCCAUCUCCCCAUCAAUCUGUCCUUACAGAGGCCAAUCAGGUGAACAGAGAGAUGUUUACUAAGGAGCAGCCCAUAGCUCCAUAAAAGCGUCACACACAGUCAGGAUUGUCGGCCUGGAGUGACGGAUUAUAUCAGGCCUCCCUGCCGGAAUAAAUAGAGGCAUUAGCAGCUCUACAGCUGGCCUGUGCUGCUGCAGAGGCUUACUGGCCUAUGAAAUGUGCAGCAUGGCAGUGUCCUGGGCCUCGCCACACUGUGAUGAAUAGCUUAUAUUCCAGAGUAAAGCAUAUUAAAGUCAGAUUGUAUGAUGGAUAGCAGGCGGUAGACAGAAGAAAAGGGAGAUAGGGAGGUAGAAGAGGGAGGAUUAAGGAAGUGGGGAGAGAGUGUUUGAUGAAAUAUGUAAAGGGAGGAAAUUAAAUCCCAAAAAUAUCAAAACCCCCCCCCUCUACCUUCCAUUUCCUGUGACAGAUGAAGAAAGCAGAGGUAAUUUUGAAUAUUUAAUAAGUCCCCUUUAGGCCCCUGGACAGUAUCUAGUCUGUGAAGCAGUAUUUGAAACAAAUACUGCUUUACAUAUACUUAAGGUGCGCUCCUAAAGGUAAUAAUCAAACUAAUCUGUGUCCCAUAAAUCUUUCCAAGGUCGCCUCUCACAAAGCGUCGUCUUUGUGUGAAUUAAUCUCCAAGAAACUUUAAGUGACACAAAAAAAUUCUUUAAAGUUUUGAGUAAAGAAAAAUGAAAAACUUGGAGCACUUUCAUUGUAAAAAAAAACAACAACAACAAAAAAACACUGAAAAUUUCUUGAACUCAACUGAGCAGCUUUGGAGCAAAUGUGGAUGCAUUCAGAUUUUAGCUCACACUCAGUCUCUUCUUUAAACUUUUUAGCAUGUGCACAAGAUGUUUGUUAAGUUUUAAAAUUCAAAAGUCCAUUAGCAACAUGACUGUGUUUUUCAUAAAUUUUCAUGCUUGAAACUGCUGACAGGGGGGAUUCAGACCAUAUUUACUUAAACAGCAAAUAUUUACGAUAGGUGGCACACACUGACAAAAAGCAGGAUCAUAAUGUUUUGCAGAAAAAUACGUCCUUGUUGUGUACAGGGAAAAAAAUUAGCAAAGAGAUGAGUUUGACAUAUUUGCCCACAGGGGUCAUCAAAUGAAGACAAAUCCAAGUUCUUUACAGCAGCAUUAGAUAAGUGUUUAUGUAUUUUUAGAAAAAGAUUUACUCACUUUUUCACCUCUUAAUUGCUGAGGAGAUGGGUGGCAUAUAUCGAAAUCCAUCAUGUCAUCAUCACCAACAAACAUGCAUUAGCUCAGCAGGUAGAGCAGUUGUCGAAUAACUGGAAGGUUGGCAGUUCGAUUCCCCCCUAUCCCUAGUCUGUCCGUUGUGUUUUUGGGCAAAACACUUAACCCACCUUGCUCCCAGUGUGUGUCCUCCACUGGUGUAUGAUUGUGUGUGUUGUGUGGUGGUGGUCGGAGAGGCUAUAGACACAAACUGGCAGCCAUGUUUCUGUUGGUCUGCCCCAGGGCAGCUGUGACUAUCAAGGUAGUUUAACACCACCAAAGUGAGACUGUGUGAGCGAAUGAAUGAUGUAUCCAAUGUAAAGCACUUUGAGGGUCUCUGAUAAAGCCCUAUGUAAAAUCUGAUGUAUCAUUAUUAUCAUUGUUUGUUGUCAAUGUCAAUGUUUGAAAGGCACACUGGGCUAAUGCUACUAAUACUGGUUCACAACAAGCCAUGGCUUCUGUAGGGGGCCUGGAACCAUCACAUGAAUUGAAAGACGAGCAAAAUCCUUUGACAGGUAAAUGGCUGAGUUAAGUAUCUUAAAAAACAUCCUCCAUAUAUACAAGUCUCCUGAAGUGCAUGUCAUUUGACUGCAGGCAUAAACAAUGGCAGACAAAUGAAAGAUUUCAAGCAGAAAGUGCAAGAUCCAAGUCUCCACCCCAUACAGCAGACAGUUUUCACUUUAUUUAAUAUUGUUAAAUAAAGAUUAGGUAAGCACUUCACAUCAUAGUAGUUGGCAUUAAUGCUGUAUACUUUUGUCCCCCUCUGGCAAGAAUCCACUGAAACUUGAUACCAGGCCUUUUCAACAAAGUGAGUCUUCCUCAUUCAUCCUGUGUGAAUAGCGGCGCUCCCUGCUGACAUAAAUCACUACAUUUUCUGAUGAGUCAGACUACAUGCUCACAGGGAGACUCUAUAGAAGUUUAUGAAGUUCUUACUGACUCCAAUAAUGGUCUGACAUAAAACAAGAUUAUUAAAUUUUAAUGUAAUGAAAGAUCCUGAAGUUAAUGAAUUCACACAUACCAGAAUUAGCAUUGGUCAAAUUAUUUCGAUAUGUAGUGUUGUUGAAAUUUAUAUUUCCUGCUCCAUCAUUAAUUCAGUAUGAAAAUGGUUCUAUUAAGAGGGUAAUUUCCCUUUUCAUUAGCUCUGCUGUCAUAGGCUAAUAAUUGCAUUUUACUGUGCUGGUGGGAUGUUGGCAUGAUGAGUGGACAUGUGUCAUGUUGGCUGGUGCAGAGCAGGACUGAUGGUGAAAAUGUGAUGCAGAAGCAGUUCUAGACAUGUCCUUUUCCGGCUCUGUGGAUAGAAAAUUUUGCACUCUACCAUAUCAAGUCAUUGAUGGAAGAGCUCAAUGUGUAAAUUUCUCACCCGAUCAAAACGUGACACCUGCAUUGCCAUCGGAGUAGCUCCGUGUGUGGCUUCUUACCUCCAAUAACUUAGAGUGUGUCAUGGAUCAAAGAAGAUUGAUCCCUGGCCUCUUCUUUUUAAUCACCGGUAGAAGGAUGGUAUUGACUUAUUGGCUGUAUUAUCGUGAAGGUUUAAACAGACCAUAGCAAGUCUAGUCCCCAUCACAUGAUACAGUGAGUGUUGAAAAGGGUCAUUGGUAUUUGUGUGAAUUUAUACUUUCACCAGCAUAUUUUAUAAAAAAUUACAAAUAUGAAAGUGAUGCAUUGCGGCUGCAUGGCUGGUUGCCUUUGUGGCAAGACUUAUCCGUCAUUUGUUAUUAACAUAUUUAUUAUUUGUUUCAUUAAUUUAAAGUAAUGAUCGAUCACUUUGAAUGUAGCCAGAAUUAAUCCUCUGGCGAUGCUAAUCGGGUGGGGAAAAUUUGAAACGGUGCAUCAUCAGUCAACUGGCUCCAUCAGGCUCCGUUAUCUGAACCAAGUGUCCUCUCAUUUUAAUUUAAUUCCCCUCCCUCUCUCUCCUUCCCUCUUCCCCUGUAUCUCACUUGCUCUCACUCUUGUUCUCUGAGGAGGAAAAUUACACCGUGAGCAGCAGUACAAAAUGAUUUUGGCAGCCUGGUUUGACAGACUCCUCCAAUCACUGUGUACGACUUCGGCGUGAUCAGACCUGUACAGUUUUACACUUAAUUUCCAAAGCUGAUAUUAAAGAUUCAUCAAUCAUUCUGCUAUAACUUUUGGAGUAAUAAAUGUCCCACAUCAAGCUGUUAAAAAGUCUGCUACCACCGGGAACUUGUCUCCUCUCUCUUUACACAGGGACUGUUUACUACUGUAGAACACCCAUGAAUAAUUAAGCUCUUAUGAAUAACUAAGACCACACAUUUAACCACACCGCAUGCUCCCUCGGGACAGGAGACAAAUCCUUCUAAUGCUCUUACCAAGGUCAGAGGUUGGGCUAAUGUCUCAUUAAAAACUCAUUUUCCCAUCAUGCUAUCAUAAGGACUGAUGGACAGCCCCAGGGUAUUGAUCCACAGUUGUUGAUCUCUCCACACUUUACACGUCAAGGUCUGUCACCAGAUCAUUGGCAGCACAAGUAUAAAUGUGAAAAUAAUCACAAAAAUAUCGUGAAUUAUAAAAAAUGACACCAGGAGGGGCUAAGGACUUUGAAUAGGACUUCCCGUUGUGGGGACUCAGAGAACCAUGGGAUUGUUGGUGGAGGUUGGCGGUUAGAACCUCCAGGAGGUUAAAUUUUACAAGUCUAGAGGAGGUGGAAGUGAAGAAUAUAAAUGGACUUGGUUUGUAUUUGUUGUACAGUUCAGAACUUGUAUGUGUUUGGUGUCUAGGCUCCAACUUAAUCACUCAAUCCUGUUCAGCUUGUACAUGGAGAAAGUGUGGAGUGAUGAGGCAACAUAGCCAAUAGAUGAUGGGGGUAGUAGUGGGGCUGAUAAUUUAAGCACAGCACUCAUGCAUGGCAGUGGUGGACACAGCAAAGCAGAGGCAGGGACUGGAAAUCUUGCCGCUUGGAUAAACUGCCAGAUUGGGAGGAUAUUUUUGUCAUGUGAUAUGUCAAUGACACUCCAGUGAACUCUGGGUUUCAUGUUUUUUUUUUUUUAGUAAGAAGUACUUAUUAUAGUACUUUUUAAAUAAAGGACUUUUUAUUUUUGCUUGAUUAGAUUCAUAGGCCUGUACUUUUUCUUCUACUUAAGUGAAAUGUCAUUCAGAUAACUUCACUUUGACUUGAGUAGAAUAGUAAAAUUUUAGUACUUUUUCCACCCUUGUUGAAAUCCAUUUGUACUCUGUCGUCCUAAAGAAGUCAAGUUGCUAUUACAAGAUGGCAACAACCAAAAUACCAACUGCAGGCUGUUCAACAGGAGAUUUAUUUACUAAUUGAUGAUGUCACUGUGGCUUUAACCACAUUUAUUAUACAGUCUAAAUACUUACAUCUUCAAACCCUCACAAAUGGAUUUAAGCUUUGCAGGCUGGCACUGACUCUGAUAAGUUUUCUUUCCAGAUCUAUUUGAAAGGAAAUCAUUCAUGUCUUUUGACUUUCUAUGCAAACAGAACAAUAGCAAGGCAACUUUGCCACUAAACAGUUUCCUAUUCAUCUUGAAGUCCUAAACAAAGAUUCUACACAUGGACUCUUAAAUCUGGAUCUAUUUGACAAAGGCUUAAUCUAAGGACAUGUAAUAUUAUCCGAAGUAUUGAUCUCUCAGUGAGGGCUGAAAUAUGGGACAGGAUACAGUAACGGUAAUCCUAGAGGAUGUACAUUGCAUUUCUGCUAUACAUACCUCCUCUAUUUUUGGUCACACACUGGUUAAUUCAAUUCAAGCUAUGCCACAAAAUUCAUCACUCCAAUGACAGACUGGCUAAGAAAUACCCCACUACGAACCCUUAUUGUUCAAGGUGCAAUAACCCAGUCUCCACGUCGUUGGCCACAUAUUUGGAUCUUGCCCCUCCAUGGUUAAUCUCUGGUCUUUGGGAUUCGAUUGCUGUUCUGUUUUUGUUCUUGGACUGAAUCCAUUCACUGCCAUCUUUUAUAUGGUACCUGUGAAAAUCCAUGCCUUAGAUACACACAACAAAGCAUUAACAUUUGGUAACCUCAUAGCAUGCAGACUUAUUGCAAUGAACCGGAAAUCUACCUUUGAGAGAUGGGUACAUGAGUUGUUGCUGGAACUUGAGAUAAUUAGACAAACACUAAUAGAGUCCCUGACAAGGUUACUGAAUGGUGGUCUCCAUUCGGUGAACAUAUUAAGGAAAUGAAUGGAGCUCUAUUUUCAUAAGGAAAAAAAAUAGAUAGACGUCUUAGUCUGUUAAGGGCGACCCAAUAAAAACAGUCAGUUGACCCACUUUGGAUUGUAUUCAGAGUUUGGGAAAGGCUGUUUUCAAGUAAUUAAACAAAAAUAUUAAAAUGGACUGUAAAGUGUGGCUCAGCUGGGAGGAGCUGCUUGGGAACACGUAGGUGAGGAGGUGUGUGUGUUCGUGUUUGAGUGUGUGCGUGUGUGUUGAUUCUGCACACUGGUGGCACUGGGGAAGUCCAGGGAGUGAAGUUCACUGUAUGAUGAAUGAUCCCUGGACUGAAAAGGGACCGAUUAAACCCUUUGCAACAAUCACCCCCCUUGCAGCCUGUGUGAAACCAUCGAGGGAAACAGCCUCUGCUCCCAGCAGUCCCGACAGCAGAGGACACACAAAGACACCCACAUACACCCACCAUUGAACGGUCAUUUUUCUGGCUGCUUUCUCACGUUGGUGUGAACAACAAUGAAAUACGUGCAUGUGGGAAAGGAAAUUAAUAAGUAAACAUGUAGUAAAAGGGGUUGAAAUGCUGUGGUGAGUGCUACAUGUACAUGUCUAAUCCUUUGCUCAUUUGAAAUUCAUGUCCAUGCAUGCUGGGGAAAUUUGCUGAUCUGGCGCUGUAUUUCAGUCAGGAGAGCAACUACGAUGAAUUUCUUUCACGCAUGAGCGUAAAGCUGUCAAAUUUCUUAAACACUGACUGCUGAUGUGUCCAAAGUUUUUUUCUGUAAAUGUCUUUCUUCCUUAAGUUCAGCAAGGUUACUACUCCUCUGUGCUGCUCAAAAACACAAACCCCUAUGGUACACACACACAGACACAAACACACACACAUACACACACGCACAUACACACAUGCACACACACAGAGGACUAGCAGACUACAGGGGCACUGACAUGGCUUUGAAGGUCACUGGCUACAAAACCAGCUCUGAUUCUCAGUGGUUUUAAUGACUUUCACACACAUUAACUUUGAGAGCACUAAAUGUAGUACUUCUCUUUUACUAUUGUGAAAAUUUCAGUGAGUUUUAUAUUCAUCUUGGGAGGGACUACCACCAUGAGGAAGGCUAAAUUCAUGAGAGAUGACCACACAUCCAUACAUGGCAUGAACCCCCCACCUCCAUAAAUCUACUUCGUUUUUACAGCUACAUCAUUGCCCACCGUAAGAAUGAAUCAGUGGGCGAUUAGUUUUUGUAAGCCGUAUUUAGGUGCAAUAUUGUGUCAGGGUGCUUGAGUUAUGGCAGGAUAUUUUGGGAGUGUCAUUGCCUUGACUGUCAAUCACAAAAAUGGCAGACACUGCUUUGAGGUUUGUGUGUCAGUUUGAUGGAUCAUGCUAUAUUUGGUAACAUUAACUAAGAAAGGAGAGAGGAUUCUUCCCUCCAAAGAGACAAAUAUGCCAAGGAGAUUAAUAAUGCUGCUGAAAUUUCACAACAGGUUGAUUUUUUUUUAAAUACAACAUAAAGUAGGAAAUAAAAUGCUGAGGACAUACAACAGAGGACCAUAGAGAUUAGCUUUUUAGACCAUUUAAGAGAUUACAGCCAGUUUUGUGAGUGCAAAAGUGUUAAUUUGCCCAAGAGAAAAGCAGUAAACAUGUUGGGGAAAAGUAAACGGUGUCUGGUCUGUGUUGUGUUGUUUCAAAAGGUUAAUGAGGUGCUUGUUCGCUCUGAGGAGAGAAGACAACGAUGCUCUUUACGGAAGAGGAGGCGUCGUACGCCUCAGGGGCCACCAUAAUGACACCCCUCAGAUCUCAUUAUCAAGCUUAUUGAUUGGUCAUGGCCACCUGCCCCUUCACCCACACACACCCAAUACACACACACACAGACUCACAACCUAAAAAUCUUUCACUGUUUCUGUAGAGAUAAAGCAUGGUUGAAUAUUGAAUUUGUUAGAGUUAGACAAUAGUUUAUAUACUGUAUGGGCUGUGAUGACUGUCUCACAAAUAUAUAAAUGCUCAAUCAUAUUUUGUUGGAUGAAAAAUCAAAUCAAAUCAGUGUCUGUAAUUUUCCUUUUAGGUUAACAAGGCAAGAGAUUUGAGUCAACAUGCCAGAUAUGGGCUCUCUUAGUCCAUUCACAGCCUCCUACAUACACACACACACACACAUACACACACACACACACACACACACACACACACACACACACAUAUAUGUGCACCCACAUUCACACACAUGUAUCAUUUAUACAAACGCCUCAGAAAGUGACACACUCCACAUUUGAACUGUUCUUGUGCAUGCCCACAUAACCACUCCACACGCGAUGAAAACACACAUACACACACUCAGAUACUCUUUAAAGUACAUGGACAGUUCCUGGCCCCAUUGUGAAGCUGCCAUUUUGUUCCAAGAGAAAAUUGCUUUAAUUAGAAUUAGCACAGUGACAAUGGGCGUCUGGCCAAGCUGUCAAAGGUUUGAACACAUUAACCACUACAUUUUCUUCUCAUUUUCCCAUGAGUCAUGUGGGAAUAUUUGAUGCCAUUCAAUAACAUGUUAGAGCUGCACUUUCCUCGUGUCUGCUCAGAAACAAUGAUUGACGAAUAUUUUUGCAUAUUUUUCCUACCAUUUUCAAGCAGCAAAGUUUUAAUUUUCACAUUUCGCUAUUCUGCCAUUUGAACCACAGUGCAAGAACAUUACAAUCAUUUGGUUUGGUAAUAUCGAGGUAGACAGAUAAGAGGUGUAUUUCCAAAUGGAGCAUCAAAUAAGCUCUUAUGGCUUGGCAAAAAUACAAAAAAAUAGUUCCAGGAAGCAGGUUGGCAAAACUCACUCAUCAAUUACAUAACUGCAGUGGAGGUGAGUCUGUGAAGACCAGAAGAACAAGAGCAUAAAUCUAAUCAAAGCAUUUUCACAUGUAGGACCCUCUGUUACACCUUUAAUGCUCUUGUUUCCCACCUGCCCCAGGCUCAAGCCCUGACCCGCUUCACUGGAGACGCAGGUGAGGGGACCUGCUCGAGUAACACCUGGCACUAAGAUGAAGGGAAGGUGGCAGGUGGUACAGACUGCACAGAUGCUGUUCGUUUCCUGCACAUGGAUGAAAGUGCAGAGAAAGGAAAGCAUGAUGGUAUGGAUUGGGUAUUUGGGGAAACGAUAUGAAAAGGUAAGAAGAACAGAGAUUUAGAAAAGAAGGUCAGAGAUGUAGUGGAUCAAUACGAGGAAAAGCCCAAGAGUUGUUCUAGUGUAAACCAAAA
rnacentral:lncRNA from 1 species